rnacentral:rRNA from 1 species
CUACGGGUCGCACCAGUCGAGAAUCUUCCGCAAUGGGCGCAAGCCUGACGGAGCAAUGCCGCGUGAGGGAUGACGGCCCUAGGGUUGUAAACCUCUGUCAGAAGGGACGAAGAACGUGACGGUACCUUCAGAGGAAGCCAUGGCUAACUACGUGCCAGCAGCCGCGGUAAUACGUAGAUGGCGAGCGUUAUUCGGAUUUACUGGGCGUAAAGGGUCCGUAGGGGGUCUGCCAAGUCUGAUGUGAAAUCCUGCGGCUCAACCACGGAACUGCAUUGGAAACUGGCGGACUAGAGUGUGCGAGGGGUGAGCGGAAUUCCUGGUGUAGCGGUGGAAUGCGUAGAUAUCAGGAAGAACACCGAUGGCGAAGGCGGCUCACUGGCGCAUCACUGACCCUGAGGGACGAAAGCGUGGGUAGCAAACAGGAUUAGAUACCCCCGUAGUC